UGGGUAGUACGAAAAGCAAGUCUUCGUGCUGCGUAUGGGUCCUCGCCACUGCAAGCCGGAGCAUUUUCGGCUGCAGGUAGAGGCAUCGGUUUCACGUGAAUAAUUCUUUCCUCGUCUGCUGAUUUCUGUGUGGGUACUUCUUUCGACAUCAGCUGAUUCAGAAAUGCAAUUGGAUAAAGAGCCCUUCAGCUUCUGUGUUUCCGGCGACUAUUAUUUGCGAGUGUGCUAGGCACCAGGCAGCGUAAGUAUCUGGGGCUUUUUUCGCGUCUGUGUGACUCCCUCGUUUUUCCCCUUCCGUGCCUUUCUCUUGAUAAUAUUGUUGAUCUCCUGUUACCACGAUGGUUCGGUAAUAAGCCUCGAAGGCUCGAUGGAUGCAGAAACGUAUACGUGACUGGUGUCGCCAUCGAUCGACUGAGUUGCUCGGGUCAAACAGAACAAGAACCCUAGCUCAUGAAUGCUUUUGAAACGGAUGUGUUUUUCCUUUAUCCUGUCGAGCACGAAGUGUGUGAGACAGGUCAGGUCUUUCAAGAGCCAGACUCUGUACGGCAUCGGCUAACGCCUUGCAAAUCUCAAUGGCUGCUCCGGAUCACCAGUGGUAGGAAUUUUUGACGAGUAGAGUAGGAGCUUUUUAUUCUG
rnacentral:lncRNA from 1 species